rnacentral:rRNA from 1 species
GACGAACGCUGGCGGCGUGCUUAACACAUGCAAGUCGAACGGAAAGGCCCUGCUUUUGUGGGGUGCUCGAGUGGCGAACGGGUGAGUAACACGUGAGUAACCUGCCCUUGACUUUGGGAUAACUUCAGGAAACUGGGGCUAAUACCGGAUAGGAGCUCCUGCUGCAUGGUGGGGGUUGGAAAGUUUCGGCGGUUGGGGAUGGACUCGCGGCUUAUCAGCUUGUUGGUGGGGUAGUGGCUUACCAAGGCUUUGACGGGUAGCCGGCCUGAGAGGGUGACCGGGCAAAAUGGGGCCGAGAUACGGGCCCGAAUCCUACGGGGGGGAGCAGGGGGGGAUAAUGGCACAAGGGCGGAAGGCUGAUGGCAGCAAGCCGGGUGGGGGGAGACGGGCUUUGGGGUGGAAACCGGUUUUGCCUGUGAAGGAGGGUGGGUGGAGGUAAUGGGUAAAGAAAGCACCGGCAAAUAAGUG